GACGAACGCUGGCGGCGUGCUUAACACAUGCAAGUCGAGCGAUGAAGCACCUUCGGGUGUGAAUUAGCGGCGAACGGGUGAGGAACACGUGAAGAAUCUGCCUUCAACUCUGGGAUAACUCCGGGAAACCGGGGCUAAUACCGGAUAUGAGCCAUGAUCGCAUGAUCGGGGCUGGAAAGUUUUUCGGUUGAAGAUGACUUCGCGGCCUAUCAGCUUGUUGGUGAGGUAAUGGCUCACCAAGGCGACGACGGGUAGCCGGCCUGAGAGGGCGACCGGCCACACUGGGACUGAGACACGGCCCAGACUCCUACGGGAGGCAGCAGUGGGGAAUAUUGGGCAAUGGAGGAAACUCUGACCCAGCGACGCCGCGUGAGGGAUGAAGGCCUUCGGGUUGUAAACCUCUUUCAGUAGGGAAGAAGCGAAAGUGACGGUACCUACAGAAGAAGCACCGGCUAACUAUGUGCCAGCCGCCGCGGUAA
rnacentral:rRNA from 1 species